rnacentral:rRNA from 1 species
UGCAGUCGAGCGGAUGAAGGGAGCUUGCUCCUGGAUUCAGCGGCGGACGGGUGAGUAAUGCCUAGGAAUCUGCCUGGUAGUGGGGGAUAACGUCCGGAAACGGGCGCUAAUACCGCAUACGUCCUGAGGGAGAAAGUGGGGGAUCUUCGGACCUCACGCUAUCAGAUGAGCCUAGGUCGGAUUAGCUAGUUGGUGGGGUAAAGGCCUACCAAGGCGACGAUCCGUAACUGGUCUGAGAGGAUGAUCAGUCACACUGGAACUGAGACACGGUCCAGACUCCUACGGGAGGCAGCAGUGGGGAAUAUUGGACAAUGGGCGAAAGCCUGAUCCAGCCAUGCCGCGUGUGUGAAGAAGGUCUUCGGAUUGUAAAGCACUUUAAGUUGGGAGGAAGGGCAGUAAGUUAAUACCUUGCUGUUUUGACGUUACCAACAGAAUAAGCACCGGCUAACUUCGUGCCAGCAGCCGCGGUAAUACGAAGGGUGCAAGCGUUAAUCGGAAAAACUGGGCGUAAAGCGCGCGUAGGUGGUUCAGCAAGUUGGAUGUGAAAUCCCCGGGCUCAACCUGGGAACUGCAUCCAAAACUACUGAGCUAGAGUACGGUAGAGGGUGGUGGAAUUUCCUGUGUAGCG